rnacentral:rRNA from 1 species
CGGACGGGUGAGUAACACGUGGAUAACCUACCUAUAAGACUGGGAUAACUUCGGGAAACCGGAGCUAAUACCGGAUAAUAUAUUGAACCGCAUGGUUCAAUAGUGAAAGACGGUUUUGCUGUCACUUAUAGAUGGAUCCGCGCCGCAUCAGCUAGUUGGUAAGGUAACGGCUUACCAAGGCAACGAUGCGUAGCCGACCUGAGAGGGUGAUCGGCCACACUGGAACUGAGACACGGUCCAG